rnacentral:rRNA from 1 species
CGGACGGGUGAGUAACGCGUGGGUAACCUGCCUUGUACUGGGGGGCAACAGUUAGAAAUGACUGCUAAUACCGCAUAAGCGCACAGUAUCGCAUGAUACAGUGUGAAAAACUCCGGUGGUACAAGAUGGACCCGCGUCUGAUUAGCUAGUUGGUAAGGUAACGGCUUACCAAGGCGACGAUCAGUAGCCGACCUGAGAGGGUGACCGGCCACAUUGGGACUGAGACACGGCCCAAACUCCUACGGGAGGCAGCAUG